GGGAUCAUUUCGGGUCCUGUACAAAUGUUCCAUACAUUUAUGAUAAAUGAGGCCUUUUUCGUUUCAUGGCAGGAUGGAGGUUGCAUUGUGAUAUACACGCAUUAUACAAUAUUAAUAUGAAUAUUAUUUUUUUAACAAAUACGUCUUUUUUCUUUUCAUGCCAAUAUUAACUUACUAUUCAUUUCAAGUACCAGCGACCAAGCCUCCGAUGACGACAGAAAGCGCUACCUCAACAGAACUGGUGACCCAGCUUCCAACCGCAACGGAGAGAGUCACUUUGGCAGGUAAAUGACAUCAA